UACGUAUGGUGCAAGCGUUAUCCGGAUUUACUGGGUGUAAAGGGAGCGCAGGCGGCACGGCAAGCCUGAUGUGAAAGCCCGCGGCCCAACCGCGGGACUGCAUUGGGAACUACCGGGCUGGAGUGCCGGAGAGGUGGGCGGAAUUCCUAGUGUAGCGGUAAAAUGCGUAGAUAUUAGGAGGAACACCAGUGGCGAAGGCGGCCUACUGGACGGUGACUGACGCUGAGGCUCGAAAGCGUGGGGAGCAAACAGG
rnacentral:rRNA from 1 species